rnacentral:rRNA from 1 species
UACGAAGGGUCCAAGCGUUAUCCGGAUUUAUUGGGUUUAAAGGGUGCGUAGGCGGCUUAUUAAGUCAGUGGUGAAAGCCCGUAGCUCAACUACGGAACUGCCAUCGAUACUGAUGAGCUUGAAUAUACUUGAGGUUGGCGGAAUGUGUCAUGUAGCGGUGAAAUGCUUAGAUAUGACACAGAACACCGAUUGCGAAGGCAGCUAGCUAAAGUACAAUUGACGCUGAUGCACGAAAGCGUGGGGAGCAAACAGG